UCCUUCAACAGGCGACGAUGGGCGUCAAUGACAAUAGCGUGCGGCGGCGGCAUCGACAAUGACAGUGAGGGGCAUCGGCCUCCUCCUCUGUCAUCGCCCCUCGCUGCCGCCUCCGUCUCCGCCAGUGUCGGGCUCGGGAGUAGCAGAUCUGCCUCUGGUGGCAAUCCCGGGCCUUUAGUGGCUAGAUCAGGUGGUGACGAGCGAUAGCCUCCUCUUACGUCAUCGCCCCCUCGCCACUCGUCGUCCUGUGUGGGGCGCUGGCCACCUCGGCUCCUCCUCCAUCAUCGCCCCCUCGCCGCUCAUCGCGACAGCUUCCUCCCCCUAGCCGCUCACCGCGCGGCGUCCGCCCCCACUGGUGCAGGGCUCGAGAGCAGCAGAUCUGCUUCCGGUAGCGCUCUCGGGCCUUGGGCGGCCAGACCAGGUUGUGGCGGCCUCAGGAGGUCAUGCGUUCAAAGAGAAUCCCAGAGAUAGCAGCAAAGGAUGAGUCGAUGCAGUACUUACAAUGCCUAGAUUCAGUAAUUGUGUUAUCACAUAUUUAAGAGGUUACACAUAUUGAAUAUAAGAAAGAGGGGGCACAUACUAUGAUGAGGAGCAACUGAAAAAACUACUGGACAUGUGUUCAAACUAAAUUAAAUUACAAGAAGCAAGCAAGCAAAAUGUAAUGAAUGUAGAUGAAUCCGAGAGUUGCUAGCAAGCAACAAUUUGAAGAGAUUUGACUAUACACUCCCAUGUUUUUUUCGGCCUCCACAAGGUUGAUCAGAGUAUGAAGACUUUGUUUGGACGUGUGGCAUGUGGCUGGAUUUGGCUGGUUUUGGUCAGUGACUUGUGGCUAGUGGUGUAUUGAACUAGCUCAAAUGUGAACAUGUGAUGUAACCGAACCUAUUUUAGUUGUUUUGGCCAGUAACUUGUGGAUGUAAGUGUCUUGAUGUAACUAACAUGAGGAUAUAACUCAACAUGAUUUGGUCAAUAUAUUUGUGAUAUUUGUUUUUUGUCUAAA